UUUAUGAACUUUAACUUAUAUUUAAAUAGCAAAUUAAAGUUAAAAUUUUAGUUUAAUUUGAAAUUAUAAAUAUAAUAUAGUUGAGAUAUUUUUAGAAUAGAAAAUUUUAAUCCGGUUUUUAAGAAAGGAUUAGAGAUGCAAAUGGAUCCGGGUUGGUGGAACUCCUGCCACGAUCCGCCCAAAUGGGACAGUAAAUGGGAGAAAAUAAACGAAUACGGACCAGGAAACGGGAUAAUUUUUAUAAUGCGAGACGUAUUUGGGGUAGGAAUAGGGAGAAAUUUUGACCCGCCUCGAUUUCGCCCCAAAUCUGUCCCGCCAAGGUCCGCCCAAAAAAUUAUUUAUAUUUUUAAAAAAUAUCUCUAAAAAAUAAUGUAUUUACGAAAAAGUUCAAAAUAUAAAUAAGUUAGUGCUCUCAUUUCUCAUGUAUUUAAAAUUUUUGAAUUUUGCAUCGAAUUGUGAUUGAUACUUUUAAUUUUAUAAUUGUUGCUGUUAAAUAUAUAUAUAUAUAUAUAUAAAAUAUUAUUAAAAAUUAUUAAUUUAUAUUUUACAAAAUAUUAAUAUAUUAUAAUUUUAUAAAAAAUAUUAGUUAGCGGGGGCGGAUUCAGGGCGCCGGCUAGAGGCAGGUAACAAGACGGAAAGGAUUAUGGGAUAUAUUUUUUAAUCGGUCACGAAUUCGAAACAGAAGGCAGGACGGAAUUUUGGUAGCCAGGGCGGGAGGCGGACCGGGGCUCUCGCCGCCUAAAACAAGAUCCAUGUUACUACCAAACUUAAAAGAGAUGGUGUAUUCUAUAACCACUUUUACAGAAACCAAACUUGAUUUGUAUCUUUUGAAACCAAAAGAAAUGGAUAAGUUGAGUUGUAGAAUCAAAAUGUUUGAACUGUAGGUACUCAUUUUAAAAUACACUAGUUUAUGUAAGUUCUGGACUCAUAUACAUUUUUAUCCGUUGUUUGCUAAUAUCGCCAAGUAUAGAUGAAUAUAGCUAGUUUGAAGUUUCUUGAUCUUUCAUGAUUUCUUUUGGGCUGAUGAUAUUCUCAGGCCUCAGCCCUGUGCAAGAAGAAUGCCAUAUAUAUGAUCUGGUAAUCAUUUUUUCCCCUCCUGAUCCUAAGCACAUUUCAUUUUUCGGCCUUUUCUCUAUACCGUUAAGACACAACAUUGUGUUCCUCUUUCCUUUUUUUUCUUUCUGUCGAUGACAUUCACUUAUUAGGCUUACAAACAGGCAUGUGGCCCAUACAAGCAGUCACCCACAGGCGAAAGAAGAACCAUUCACUGCACCUUACUACUGCUUAAUUUACGAGGUCUUUAGAUUUCUAAACUACGUAUUUACUACAUAUAUAGCUACGUACUUGGGCAAUGUAUUAUUUGUUAUUUUGCUAAAAUUGUGGCUGUAUUGCUAAACUGUCGAAUACUCUUUGCCCAAGGAUUAAAGUGCCAUCGGCACGGGCCGUAUCUACCGUGCCGUAUCGUGCCAGCAAGAUGUCGGCACGAUACAGCCCCCGUGCCGAUGAUACAACUCAAAACCCUCUAUUCUUGAAAUUAGUAGGCAAUUUUCUUAACAAAGUUCAAAAGAUUUGAUAAAAAUAUGUAAUAAAUAAUUGGUAUAUUUGUUGCUAAAAAAAAAUAAAUAUUUCAUGCCAUUACAUAUCGACACACAUAUUAUUUUGACCGGCAUACAUCUGCAUGGCCCGGCACGCACCAUACCGUACUGUGCCGGCAAGUUUCCGACACGACUCCGCGUCACGGCACUUUAAUCGUUGUCUUUGCCUUCUUCUCUUGUCGUUUCGGGUAUGCCAUUACAAAAGCCUUUUGCGUCGCCUUUGUAAUGACCUUCUUUUCUGUAUUCGAUGUUCCUGCCUUCUGGACGAUACAUCUAUGCUACUGGAUCAUCCUCCUUUACUUGAUGAUGAAACGUCAAAUACUUUAUAUUAUCAAAUAUAAAUAUGUGCAAUUCAACACAGGCAAGCAGGUGACUACCGGGCUCAGUAUAUUCUUCCAUCAUAUUAUUUCAAAAAGGAUAUUUUGCGUAAAUACCCUAUAAAUAUAAAUUCAGGCACAUUCCAUUUCAAAGUUGGUGUGUGCAUGCAUGCCUUGAAAACCUAACUUUAUUUGCAGGUAUGCCUCUGCCAGAAUAUUUAUGCGGAAACUUGGGGUGCCUACAUAGAUACCUGUGGUGGGGUUUGUGCACGAAUAAACCAGUACGCAUGUAGAUCCAUAUUUCGCAGUUGUAUUUAUGCAAUUUAACAUAUUUGCAAGCGUAUAUAUGCAAAAAAAAGAGAUCUUCAAGAAAGAAAUAUCAGGCUUUUUUUACAAAAAAAUCAUGCCUCGGCAACAAUAGGACUUUUUUUAUUUGUUUCUGUUUCUGCAACUUUAGUCCACAUCUCAACUUUUAAAACAAGGGAUGAUUGUCUAUAUACCUUUCAUACGUUUGAAAAUAUCUGAUUUAUCUUUAUUUUUUUUCUUUCUAAAAUACCCCUUAUAUGUUCCACAGUUUUUAUAAAAUAUCUCCACAGUUAUUUUUUGUUAAGUUAAUUUGGGUUAAACGUGAGUUAAAUAUCUACCAGAGUUAAAAAAAAUUAAAAUGCCAAUUUUGCCCUUAACUUAAGGGCAAAUAAGAAAUGUUGGUGACGGUAGAAGGGUAAAAUUAAAAUACUUUUUGUGCCCCUGACUUUAAGGGCAAACAAGAAAGUCAGUGAUGUGGAAGGGUAUAUUUGAAAAGGCAAAAUAGUAAUUUUACAGAGAUAACAGAGUUAAUUAAUCGAUCUUAACUCUAGGGGGAUAUUAGAAAUAAGUUGGAACGUAGAAAGAGUAUUUUCAUAUUAGCCUUCUAAAAGGAGUAAAUCGGAAAGUCGAGAACUUUUCAGGAUAUAUAAGCAAUUGCCUCUUAAAACAAAAUCAUGCCUUGACGCAUUCUUUUGAGCUGAGGUUAAUUGCAUGCCUUUAAAACUCUGCAUCGAUUUUGAUCUGUACAUUGAUCAUGCAAUGCCAUGCUAUCUUGGUCGUGGAGUGGAGUAGCAGCUUGGUCUGAAAAGUUAAAAAGGUGUCUAAAGUUGCAGUAAGGAAAAGGUACAGAGUGUGCUUUUUAUCCUCAAAAUGUCUGAAAUAAUUUGGCAAUUCCAGAUUACUAAAGAGUGUGCCUUUUAUCCUCAAAAUGUCUGAAAUAAUUUGGCAACCAGAUUACGUGCAUUAUAUUAUUGGCUAUCAUUGUACGUUUUAUCAUCAGAGAUACGGAGGCAACAAAAGUUCAGCAAGCAUGCAACAGUUCAUCCAGCGAUUGAUCUUCUCCAUUGCGCUCUCAUAGUAAACCGAAAAGGUAUUUAUAUUUAAUGUGUCAUCAAACAUGAGAGAACAGAAAUAUAUACAUACCUUCAGUUGCAGAAUUUAAAAAGCAUGUGCUAGUUCUUUUUUGGAUUAAUUGCAUACAGAUUCCCGUAAACAUAAUGAAUUGUAAAUAUUCCUAAUGUUUUCAGAUAUGUUCCUCUAGUCUGUUACUGUUAGAGAACUAUUAGAAAACUAUUUAUAUUUUCAAUUUUGCUAUCACAAAUAUGUCCCUCCAAAAGUUAUAACAGUAUAAUAUAAAAGGAGUAAAUAUGUCAAAAAUUAAUCUGGGUAAAAUAUUUAACCUAUAGUUAACUAAACUUUUCUAACGGAUUCUAACAACAGGGACAUAUCUGAAAACAUUAGGACUUUUGUAAGGAUAACUUAUAAAAGUUGAAUUUUAUAGGAAUAUAUUUAUAAUUCAUUAUGUUUCCGAAAACCUGUAUGCAAUUAAUUCUUUUUUUUUAUUUUCCUUCCACUUUCUUAUUGUUGGUUAUUUGGGACGGACAUUUUUGUCACUGAUAUAUCUGUAAGAAUCAUAAUCAUGGUUUAUAGUAGGCAUGAAGGGAUCUCUUUUUUUUUCUCUUUUUUCUUUUUUUUUUUUUUGGAAUGCAUAAGUUCAGUCAUUCGAUUGAAGUUGAGUCAUUCGAUUGAAGUUGAUAUAGAGAUGAUGUUGAUUUAUGAAAUUGUUAUCCUUUCAAAGUUCGAAUAAAUGAUCCUAUGUUAGGUGGCUAUUAUUAGCCAGAUUUAUAAAGGUUAAUGGACCGAAUAAGCUAUUGAUUGCAACUACAUAUGGUUUCCAAUGCCACUGAGAUUGAAUUACUUUGAUAGAUGAAAAUAGCUGGUCUGGGAUCAACAUAACUUAGGAGCUGCAAAUUUUUCAAUUUUAGUAUCUGCUCCUGAGGAGUUAAUUUGUCAUAUAUAUAUAUAUAUAUAUAUAGGGCUGGCAAAUGAGCGAGCCGGCUCGCGUUCGACUCGCGUUCGACUCGAUAUUUGGCUCGCUCGAGCUCGAUUCGAAAUUAAAUGAGCUGAGCUUGAACAAAAUAAAAGAUUCGAAAUUCAUUUCAAACCGAGCUUGAGUAUUACUUGGUUCGUUCGAAUUAGGCUCAAGAAGCUCGAAAAGCUCGACUAUAUAUAUAUAGUAGAGCUACUAUGCUAUCGAAAAUAUAAAAAUAUAGUGCUUUCGAUUUUUUGAUUCUUAGAUCAAUCCCUUUAAUCGUUUCUUAUCUUUGGAUUAAUAUUAUUAUUACCUUGUAGGGACCACUCAAUCCUAAGAGUAUCAUUUAAUCCUAAGGGAGACCGCAAUCAUCCCAGCCAUACAAUUUUUAAUCAAAGGAUCAAAAAUUCAAAAACAUCAAAUCCUCUAUAUUUUCGAUAGCAUAGUAGUUCUACACUAUAUAUAUAUUAAAAAAUAUAUAAAUAUAAUAUAUUUUAAUUAUACAUAGGUUGAGUGAAUAAUUUAAGUUUAGUUAAAAUUAGGCUAAUAUUGUUGGCUCAUAAAAACAAAUCCAAUAGACAAAUAAAAGAAUAAAAUUUUACUAAAUUUAUAUAUUUUUUCUUUCUUUAUUUCUUUCUUUCUUUUUUUUCACAGAGCUCUAAAUUUUUAAUUUGUUUUUCUCUUUUUCUUUUUCUGUCUCUCACCCUAAGUUGCCAAGCCGGAAGUCCUCUAAGUUACCAAGUAACAUCAUAUGCCCGCCGUUGCCUACCUUGCUAUUAAUUGUAUGCUUGAGAAAAUAUACAGAAUAUUUUUAAAGUAAAAAAUUAUUAUUCAUAUAAAAUUUUAAUUUUAGUUAUAUAUGAUUGGAUAGUUUAAUUCAAUAUUUAUCUAUAUAAUUUAUUUAUUUUUCACUACAUAAAUAAAAAUGAAUAAUAUAGAGAUUGAAGACGGAAGAAAAGACAUGUGAGGCUGAAAAAAUUAAAUAUUCAACUCAUAAAUUAUUUUUUUCAUAUUAUAAUACUAUAUUUCAUAUAAUUAUUUUGUACGUUGAACUAUUAGACAUAUUUUUGUAUCAAAUUAUAGAUAAUGUUCUAUAUAAAUUAAACUAUUGAUCGUAUAAUGUUGAGAAUUUCAAGCGGCUCAUUUAGGGCUCGAGCUCGCUCAACUUGAAAUUAGGCUCGCUCGAGCUCGGCUCGAAUUAAUUUCAAUCCAAGCUUGAGCUUAAAUUUAGACUCGAAAUUAAUUUCAAGCCGAAUUUGAGCCGAGAUAAGCUCGCUCGAGCUCGGCUCGUUUCCACCCCUAUAUAUAUAUAAUUGAGCUCCUAUGCUUUUAAAAGUACCAAGUCAUUAGUGCUUGUAAGUUUUCGACCUUUGGAUUAAGGAAUGUGCGGUUAGGAUGAUGUUGGCCUCCUAGGGUUGAGUGAGUGGUUGGUUGAAUAGUAUAAUCUAACGGAUAAAAAUGAUGAAAGGCAUAGAUCUAACGGUAAAAAAUUUAGAAACACCAAAUGCUUGGUGCUUUUACAAGCACCAUAGCCGAACUCUAUAUAGAGUAUUGGACCCUUCGUACUCAUAAGUUAUUUUCGAUAAUAGAGCUUCUGAAUCAACGAUCCACUCCGUUAAAUAUGAUCUAGAGUAUUUGAAACUUCUAGAAAAUAAAUUUUGUAACUUUUCGAAAUCAUAAUAAAGUCCAUCAAGCGAGCAUAAAAUGAACGGUCAAAAUCGAACGAUGUCUUAAAAAUGGAUAAUCAGAUCCUUCAAUUUAAGAUCGGAGUUAUUGAUCUUUAUCUAGGUAGUGAAUAGAAUUUUCUAUCAAAAAUUCAACCUAUUCGGAUUCUUUUGCACCGUUAAACUAGCAAGUAUUCCAUACCGGCCGUUAAAAAUUGUCAAUUUUGUGAGCUUUUGAUUGUAAGGUAAAUGAUGUCGAAAAAUUAUGAAAUUUGAUUUCUAGAUGUUUCAAAUGCUCUAGAUAACGUUUAACGGUGUGGAUUGUCGAUUCGGAAGCUCUAUCAUCGAAAACAACUUAUGAUACAGCGAUGUCUAAUAAUAGUAUAUUAUGUACCGCUAUAUAACUGAUAUAUAUAUAAUAUAUAUAUAUAAUAUAUAUUAAUAUAUAUAUAUAUAUAAUAUAUAUAUAUCUAAUAUAUAAAUAUAAUAUAAUAUUGAACUAGAAUACUCCUUAGAGCACCAACCUUUCUGCCUCUAUAAUCUACUCUUAAAUUACUAAUACCCAUGGAUUCAAACACAUAUAGCUACACGACCAAACCUACCCCAUAUUCAACCUACAUCUCUCUAUCCCACAUGUUAAAAUUUAAGACACAACCCUUGGUGCUUUUGAAAUAUUCUACUAACUCUAUAUACUAUAUAUUAUAUUAUAAUAUAUUAUAUAUAUAGAUUGAGGCUAGAAUUAUCUCCGGAUCGUAAACACGCCCGUUUACUAUCGAGUUGUUUUCGAUGAUAGAGCUUUCCAAUUAGAAAUCGGUCCGAUAAUAGAACAUGAUUUAUGUCCACUUGAAGUGUUUAGAAUACAAUUUCAAAUCUUUUCAACUCAAAUUUGCCCUAAUGAUCAAAGGGUUUCAAAAUUUGUAAUUUUAAUGGGAUAUAGAGCGUUUUCUGUGUUAAACGGGUAAAGAAUUAUCACUAUCAAUUGAAUAUUUUGUUAGAAUUUUUAAACUAUUUAAACAAAUACAUACUCGACUGAUUACAUAACUCUAAACAAUGACAUUUUUUAAAGAAUAUUCAUUUUCAGCCAUUCAUUUUUCUGUUCACUAGAUGGAUAAAAAACAAUAUCGAAAAUGCGUGAAAUUUGAUUUCUAGGUAGUUUAAAUGGUUUAGAUCAUAUUUAACGGAGCCGAUCGUUAAUUUGGAAGCUCUAUCAUCGAAAAUAACUCGAUAGUAAACAGGCUCGUUUACUAUCGAGAGUAUUCUAGCUCAUAUAUAUAUAUAUAUAUAUAUAUAUAUAUAUAUAUAUAUAGUCAUGAAAUGUAAUGAAUUUGUCUCGUCCCCACUAAUUUAUUAUGUUGCCACCAAUUAACGUUGGUUGGCAAUCUACCUAUUUUGGAGGGUCUUGCAAUUCCUUGCCAGAUCUGUCUCUUGAGAGUGAGCGCAUGUUUGCACGUGUGUGUGCAUCCGUGCAUUGUAUAUUUUUGAGAUCUAGAGAGAGAAACCACUAUGCUCUAGUCUUUUUACUUUGGUUGCUAAAGAUCAGAGAUUCGAUUUCUCUGUGUUUAUUAAGUGGGGGUGUUUGACCUCAUUGCUUAGCUCUUUUUCUUUUUUUUUUUAAAGAAAAAGCUAUAGUGACCGUACAGUGGGAGGUUCUUGGAUGCGGAUUACAAAGAAAACAAGAAAUUACAAAGAUGCAAGAUUUACGUGAUUUGGCCAACCUUGAGUUGACCUACGUUCACAGCCAAGACCACCUCAAUGCUUUCUUUGAUUAUUUCAUGGCACAAAAGUACAAAGGAGUAUAUGGGGAUUACAAGAAACUCUCUCUCAGGAGCUCUCCACGUUUUCCUCUCAACUAGGGUAUUUUCAAUGAAGCUCAUAAUCUAAAAGAUUAAUUAUAAAGGUUUAUAUAACCCUAAAAUCCUAAUUCUAGUAUGAAAUAAUUUUCGCCUUCCAUUCAAGUAUGAUUCAUAUGUAGUCAUCAAUAUCUUUUUAGGAAUACUCUUUAAAUUGAUUCUGAACUAUUUCUAAUCUUUUGGAACAAAAUUAAAUCUAAUUAGAGUCAAACUCUCAUAUCGACUCGAAACAUGGCUUUAUAUAAUCCAACAAUUUGCAACAGAUGAGACUUUAUUUAAUAGUCCGGUUUAAAUAGUUGCUUGGCUCUACCCUAUUUAUAUUAGAUUAGACCAGUGACUAAUUUAUUAGGUAGUAUUUGUUUGGUAACAUGNAAAAAAAAAAAAAAAGAAAAAAGAGAGAGAGAGAGAGAGUACAGUGAUUUAAAAGCAUUAUUAUUAUUAUUAUUUGUACUAUUACUAUUCAGUUGUCUUAAGUAGGCAUACCUGCAUUUUUAUACAGCUUUUCAGAAAAGUGAGGGGCCCUCCCCUGUCCACCCUCUGCCUUCAGCAGUAAACAGUACACAACAUAAGACUAUUUUCUGGAAAUCUUCACAGUGCCAAAAUCCAUGUGCCUUAGCUGAUUGAUUGCAUAUGUAGCUCCAAUACUGGGGAGAACGAAAAUCUUUGAAAUGUCCAAUCCUUUUUUUUUUUUUUUUUUUUUUUUUUUUUUUUUCAUCUAACAGUUGCGUCGGGUGAAUAAAUGGUAUCACAUCUAAGGUAGCUUUUGCUUCUUUUUUUUGAGGAUUAAUUUAAUAUAGAUUCUGGAAAUAUAGUGAAUGACAAAUAACAAUUAUAUUCUUAUAAAUUUUAACUUUUAUAUGUUGUCUUUAACGAAAAGUCCUGAUAUUUCAAAUAUGUUCCUCUUCAUUAUAAUCUGUUAGAAAAAAUUUAGUUAACCAUAUGUUUAAAUACCUAAUCCUAUUUAAUUUUGGACAUUUUUAUCUCUUUUUAUUAUAACUGUUAUGGUUUUUAGAGGGAUAUAUUUGUGAUGGCACAAAUUAAAAUAUAAACAGUUUUCUAACAGUUAAAAAACUAGCCAGGUCAGUUCAAGGCUAGGGCUUCCAGGUUCAUUUUGUCCCAUUAUAUUAGUGCCAAACUAUAAAAUAGAGGAUGAAAUUAAUCAUGUUUUUCUUUAAAAACUUAAUGAGAAACGAAAGUUCCAAAUGUUGUUCCAAUUACUGUUUGGUCAGCUGGUUAUGUCCAGUCAAACUGAUAUAGUGAUGCCACUAUGUUACACAUGUUGGAUACUUCUUUCAAAACACUUUAACAUAAGACUCAGGGAAAAAAAAGAACAAAAAUUCUACUGACUGUGAGCCAAUUUGGCUCGUAGGUUUUACACCACCACGUUGUGGGUGAAAACUGACUUUCCAAAAGCAAAAAGUUGUUCUUCUCCAUUCUGCGGUCCCACCGCAACUAUCACAAUGUGCUUUGAUGGCAACAAAUCCACACAAUGUGAAAAUAUACCCUUCAGAGAACUUCCCCCAUGCAUCCCACCUGAUUGUGGAAAGCAGCUCUCGGCGCAACCGGUCAACUGGGGCCUUAGGAAUCAUAGGUUUGAAACCAGGAUUAAAGGUGUGCUAUCGACACGGGUCCAUAUCCGACCGUGCCGUAUCGUCGCAGCAAGAGAUCGGCACGAACAGCCCCCCUGUGCAAUGGCACAACUCAACACCUCCGUAUUCUGCAAUUAGUAAGUAAUUUUCUCAAACAAAGUUCAAAAAAUUUGAUAAUAAUAUAUAAUGAAAUAAUACAUAUUUUGUUUGCUAAGAAAAAUAAAUAGUUGUUCAUACUCAAUUACGUGUCACACAACAAAUUUUUGACCGGCAUGCAUCGGCAACUGCCCCUGCACGGCACCGGUGCUGUACCAUGCCGGCAAGUGUCCGGCACGAUCGCCUUGUCACGACACUUUAAUCCUUGGUUGAAACUUCUGGAUUAUAGGUUGCAAAGUUCAGCGAGUGGUGCCAACUAACAAAGGAAUCACAAUAAAUAAAGUACCAAUUAAAGAUAAGAGAUAGAAGUCAAUUUUUUCGUACAAUACAGGGGGUUGUAUUAGGGUAACUAAAGGCUUUCUUGUUUAGUUAUAAUCUUAACUCUCCUAAGUCUGAACUAGGANNNNNNNNNNNNNNNNNNNNNNNNNAAAAAACGACCCACUUCAAAAAGAAGAAUUAAGCGCAAGACUACAGCUACGUCGAGUAUAUAAGGGAGGAAUGAAAAGAGACCCUUUAUUACUCACCACAAUAGCACCAUUGGAUGUCGGGGAGACUAAUAAGGGAGGCGAUAUACAUCCUGUACCCUCUAUGCCCAAUUCCCAUUUAUAUACCACAAAGACGGUUCAACCUUUUUAACCUAUCUCUCAGAGCGAAGUGGAGAUUAUACUAAUAUCCUGCGGGAAUUGAAGUACUCUCAAUUAAAUUCAAGAGGUAAACUGUACUAUAUAUUAUUCGCAACUAGAUGACUUACACUCAAUACCUUCAUUUACUAUAUAUAUCUACAACCACUUUUUCUUAUCCCAUAUUAUCUAUCGCAAACGCUAUUUUUUUUUAAUUCCCGCGAAUAACCAAAUUCUAUACAAACGAUUUUUUUUAUCCCAUGGUUGUCCUAUCCGCUGUAAUACUAGUUCUUAUUAUACCCGCCAAAACGCUAUAAGUUUUUGAUUGUUAGAUCUAUACUUUUGACAUUUCCAUCCGUAAAUCACUAUUCAACUAACACCCAUUCAAUCAUAGGGACCAGUAUUUCCUUAAUUGCACAUCCAACGGUUCGAAAAUUUAGUGAGUUUAAUAGAGUCUAUACUCAUAAGAGUAUUAUAGCCUUAGCUUAUAUAUAUAGAAUUAGGUCUACUAUACUAUUUAUAGUAAUCAACUGCUGUUAUAGGUUUCGGCCCUUGAAUGAAGGAUGUUGGUGGUCGGAUGAUAGCUAGGGUAGAUGAGGGGUGGCAAGUUGAAUUGCUAGACUUACGGAUGAAAAAUAGCCAAAAGGAUAGAUCAAAUAGCAAAACUCGAUAGAACAAACACUUGUACUAUCAAUAGUAUGAGCGCGGACUCUCUAUAUUAGGGUAGAUCUAACGACAAAAAACUCUAUAGCACAAAAUGAUCGGUACUAUAGAUAGUAAUAAUAGCCGACUAUAUAUAUUAGAGAGAGAUAGAGUCCGGCUACUAUAUUAUCGAUAGUACAAAUGCAUAGCUGCAAUCGAAUUUUGUAAGCCGUUAGAUCUACAUUUUGACCAUUUCUACCCGACUCUAGAGAUCAUCUAUCAUUCUAACCGCACAUCCUCUUCAUCCAAGAACGAAAACUAAUAGCAAGUGAAUUGGUACUUAUAUAUAUAUAGUAUAUAUCCGUGCUAUACUAUCAAUAGCAGCAGAUUUCCGUGCAUGCCCAAGUUGUUUUCGAUGAUGCGGCUUCGUCAAAUCGCUGAUCGCUCCGUUAGACUUGAUCUACACUAUUGAAAGUAUUUGGAAACUAAAUUUCAGAAUUUUCGACAUCAUUUGGCUAGUGAUAAAAGGUCUCAAAAUUUAACAAUUUAAUGGUAGAUGGUGAUGCAUUUGUAAAUUUAACGAUGUAAAACAAUCCAAAUCAAAUGAAAUUUUUAUAGAAAAUCUUUUUACUAUUAUAGAGUAGAUCAGUACCUCUGAUCUUAGAAUUCAAGUCUCUAUCAUCAUUUUUUUAUUAGAUUUUUAUAUUUAAGCCAUUCAUUUUAGACUACUCGUUUGAUAGGUAAAUGAUACCGAAAAAUUAUGAAAUUUAGUUUCAAUACUUUCAUAGUGUAAUCAAGUCUAACGGAGCCGAUCGUCGAUUUGGAAGCGCAUCAUUGAAAACAACUUGGUAGUCAUGAAGGCGUCCGUGCUACCGAUAGUAUAGCAGCCAGCUCUAUAUAUAUAUAUAUAUAUAUAUUAUGGAGAGAGAGAGAGAGAGAGGAGAGAGAGAGAGACUAGGCUCUCCUAUGCUUUCGAAACUGUACAGGAGCCUCCGUACUUGUAAGUUUGUUUUUCGAUGAUGGGACGUCCGAUUGGCGAUCGGUUCCGUUAGACAUAUCUACACUUUGGAACUAUCUAAAAACCAAUUUUCAUAUUUUUUUGACUUCGUUUGCCUAGUGAACGGUAGCCUCAAAAUGAACGGCUGAAAAUAAAAAAUCUCAUAAAAAAUAAUGAUAAAGGACUCAAAUUCAAAUCGAAAGUAUUGAUCUUGCUAUUGACGUUUAUGUAGAAUUUUCUAUUAAAUUUUCAUAUAAUUGGAUACUUCUACAUCGUUGAACUUAAAAACGUACCGCAUCGGCCGUUAAAAUAGUCAUUUUUUGGAGCAUUUGAUCGCUUAGUAAAUGUGUCAAAAAUUCAUAAAAUUUGGUUCCUAGAUAGUUCCAAUAUGGUAGAUUAUACCUAACGAGCCGAUCGUUGAAUCGAUGUCCUAUUAUGCGAAAACACUUACAAGUACGGAGGUUUCGGUACUUUCGAAGUAUAGUAGACGUCCAAUAUAUAUAUAUAUAGUAUAGUAUAUAUAUAUAUAACAUAUAUAUGUAUAUAUAUAAUCAUAUAUUAUAUAUAUAUAUACAUAUGAUAUGUAAUAUUAUAUACAUAUAUAUGUAUAAUAUAUCAUAUAUUAUAUAUAUAUACAUAUAUUAUAUAUAUAUAUACAUAUAUAUAUAUAUUAAGCUCCUAUGCUUUUAAAAGUACCAAGACAUUGGUGCUUAUAAGUUUUUAGCCUUUAGAUUAAAAAUAUAUGGUUAGGAUAAUGUGGGCCCCCUUAGGGUUGAGUGGUGGGUUGGUUGAAUAGUAUAAUCGAACGGUGUAAAUGAUACAUGCUGAUCUAACGGUUAAAAACCUACAAAGCACAAUGUGAUUGGUGCUUUACAAGCACCAUAGGCCGGACUAUAUAUAUAUAUAAUAAAUAUAUAUAUAGUAAUAUAUAUAUAUAUAUAUAUAUAUAUAUAUAUAUAUAUAUAUAUAUAUAUAUAUAUAUAUAUAUAGUCCGUUACUAUAACUGUGAUCAGUAGUAUCAAGCCCUUGGUACUAUUAAGUCUUCUGCCGUUAGAUCUACCCUUUGAUCAUUUCCACCCGUUAGAUUAUACUAUUAAACCAACCACCCACUCAACCCUAGGGGACCACUAUCAAUUUAACCGGGGACCACUAUCAUCCUAACCGCACAUCCUUUCAUCCAACGGCCGAAAACUCAAUAGUACCAAGGGCUUGGUACUAUUGAUAGUAUAGUUGCAUAAUUCUAUAUAUAUAUAUAUAUAUAUAUAUAUAUAUAUCGAGCUUUUCGAGCUUAAUUUGAGCGAGCCCGGUAAUACUCAAGCUUGGCUUGAAAUUAAUUUCGAGCCUAAAUUUAGGCUCAAGCUUGGCUCGAAAUUAAUUCGAGCGGAGCUCGAGCGAGCAGAAUAUCGAGCCGAACGCGAGUCGAACACGAGCUCAAAACUUCAGAAAUAUCUCAUUUAUCCCCUUUUUUUUUUUCUUUCCAAUAUACCCCUUAUAUAUUCCUCCGUUAUUUCAAAAUACCCUUACAGUUACCACCCAUUAAGUUAACUUGGGUUAAACGUAAGUUAAAUAUCUAACACAGUUAAAAAAAAAUUAAAAUGUCAAUUUUGCCCUUAACUUAAGGGUAAAUAAGAAAUCUUGGUGACGGUAGAGAGGUAUAUUUGAAAAAAUCAAAAGUCAAAAUACUUUUUGUGCUCCUGACUUAAAGGGCAAAUAAGAAAAGUCGGUAAUGAUGGAAGGAUAUAUUUGAAUGGGUAAAACAUAAAUUUUAUAUAGAUAAAAUAGUUCAUUAAUAAAUUUUAACUAUAGGGGUAUAUUUGAAAUAGGUAAUAAAUUUUAACUAUAGGGGUAUAUUUGAAAUAGGUUGUAACGUAAAAAAAAUAUUUUCAAUAUUAGCCUUCCAUCAUUAUUAAAUCAGAAUUUUCAAUAUUAGCCUUCUAAGAGAAGUAAAUCAGAAUCGAAAAUUUUUCAGGAGUAUAUAAGCAAUUGCNGAAUGACAAAUAACAAUUAUAUUCUUAUAAAUUUUAACUUUUAUAUGUUGUCUUUACGAAAGUCCUGAUAUUUUCAAAUAUGUUCCUGUCAUUAUAAUCUGUUAGAAAAAUUUAGUUAACCAUAUGUUAAAUACCUAAUCCUAGUUAAUUUUGGACAUUUUUAUCUCUUUUUAUUAUACUGUUAUGGUUUUUUAGAGGGAUAUAUUUGUGAUGGCAAAAUUAAAAAUAUAAACAGUUUUCUAACAGUAACAAACUAGAGGAAUAUAUUUGAAAACAUCAGAAUUUUGAAAGGACAAUAUAUGAAAGUUGAACUUUGUAGAAAUAUAUUUGUCAUUCACUAUUUUUGUAGGAACCUGUAUGAAAUUAAUCCCUUUUUUUAUAUCCAUGAUACGACACGGUGGUCUUAUAUAAGUAGAUAUCGCUUUAUUACAAUUGAUAUGACCUUUUCACUAUGAAAUAAUUAAAAGGGAUAAUUGCCUAUAUACCCUCAAAACUUCAGAAAUAUCUCAUUUAUCCCUACUUUUUUUUUUCUUUCCAAUAUACCCCUCAUAUAUUCCUCCGUUAUUUCUAGACCUGGCAAACGGGCUGGUUGGGUAACCCGCAGGCGGGUUAUUGUACCUGCGGGUUAUUUGGGCAUGGGUAAAAUUUACCCGUAAAUUUUUGGGUAGCCAACAUCUUUACUCAUACCCGCCCGCGAAUGGGCGGGUGGGUAUGCAGGUUACCCACAAAUUUUUUUUUUUUUUUUUUGCUCUUAUAUUUUUUAAAUACAAAACACAUAGAUAUAAGUUUUAAAAGUAUAAUAUAACUCAUUGUUUAAAAUAUCAUAACAUACAAUAAAAAUAUUUAAAGUCUUAAAGCAAAAAUAAUUUAUAAUAUUAAAGACAUGCAAUAAAAAAUUAGGAUUAAAAUUUUUAGGAUGGAUAAAUAAAAAAUAUAUAUUAAUUAAGAAAAUAUAUUUUGUAAUUAAAAAAUAUAUGUGCGGGUACCCGUGGGUACCCGCGGGUUAUCCAAAAUGCCCACUGCUUAAUGGGUACCCACCCCUUUUACCCGUAAUUUUUUGGGUUGGAAAAAUUGAUACCCAUACCCGCAAAUUUGUGGGUAACCCGUGGGUACCCGCGGGUUUGGGUCAAGAUUGCCAGGUCUAGUUAUUUCAAAAUACCUUUACAGUUAUCACCCAUUAAGAUAACUUGGGUUAAACAUGAGUUAAAUAUCUAACACAGUUAAAAAAAAUUAAAAUGUUAAUUUUGCCCUUAACUUAAGAACAAAUAAGAAAUGUUGGUGACGGUAGAGGGGUAUAUUUGAAAAAACCAAAAGUCAAAAUGCUUUUUGUGCUCCUAACUUAAGGGCAAAUAAGAAAAGUCGGUGAUGGUAGAAGGGUAUAUUUGAAAGGGUAAAAUAUAAACUUUAUAUAGAUAAAAUAGUUCAUUAAUAAAUUUUAACUAUAGGGGCAUAUUUGAAAUAGGUUGUAACGUAAAAAGGAUAUUUUCAAUAUUAGCCUUCUAAGAGAGGUAAACCAGAAUCGAAAACUUUUCAGGAGUAUAUAAGCAAUUGCCUCUAAUUAAAAACUAGAUGUUUAGGACCUAGCAACAACAAAAUAUGAAAAUUAGGAACCCAAAGGGAGUAUUAAAAAGAAAAAAAGAAAAAGUAGAGACCAAAAUUAAUCAAAAAGGUGACGAUUAGUAAGGGGUGGAAACGAGCCGAGCUCGAGCGAGCUUACCUCAGCUCAAGCUUGGCUUGAAAUUAAUUUCGAGCCUAAAGUUAGGUUCAAGCUCGGCUUGAAAUUAAUUCGAGCCGAGCUCAAGCAAGCCUAACUUCGAAUUGAGCGAGCUUGAGCCCUAAACGAGCCGCUUGAAAUUCUUAAUAUCGUGCAAUCUACAGUUUAAUUUUUAUAAAAAUUAUCUAAAAUUCGAUACAAAAAAAACCUAAUAGUCCAAUAUACAAAAUGAAUGCAUGAAAUACGAUAUUAUAAUGUUAAAAAAAAAUUAGGAAAAGUGACUCUGUGAGCGAGUGAAAAAGAGAGACAGAGAGCAAUUAUAGUAGGAUUUUGCUAGUUUAGUUUUGUCCGCCCAAGAAUCUAAAUUCUAUAUACAUAUAAUUAAAAUACAUAAUAUAUAUUAUUUUAUAUAAUUAAAAUAUAUAUUACAUAUAAUUAUAUAUAGAGAGAGUUCGGUUACUAUACUGUUAUUAGUAUAGACCCCUUUAUACUCAUGUGACAGCACCGUUUGGAUCGGGGAUAAGGGGAGGGAUAACCUCUUAUCCCCCCCUUUAUACCCAAACGUAAAUUUUUUACGCGAGAAUAAUAGUUCUCAUGUACCUUAAAUAAGCUGGUAUAACUAUCCCCACCAACACCUUCAUUUUCUAUAUAUAACUACCCACUAUUUUUCUUAUCCCAUAUUAUCUAUCCAAACGCUAUUUUUUUUUAUUCCCGCGAAUAACCAAAUUUUCAUCCAAACGCUAUUUUUUUUAUCCCCAUGCUUGUACCUAUCCCUGUAAUAGCUAGUUCUUACUUAUACCCGAACCAAACGCUAUAAGUUUUUGAUUGUUAGAUCUAUACUUUUGACCAUUUCCAUCCGUAAAUCAUACUAUUCAACUAACCACCCAUUCAAUCAUAGGGGACCAGUAUCAUCCUAAUUGCACAUCCAACGGUCGAAAAUUUAUGAGUAUAAUAGAGUCUAUACUCAUAAGAGUAUUAUAGCCUUAGCUUAUAUAUAUAGAAUUAGGCUACUAUACUAUUAAUAGUAUCAACUGCUUGUUAUUAGGUUUCGGCCCUUGAAUGAAGGGAUGUGUGGUCAGGAUGAUAGCUAGGGUUGAGGAGGUGGCAAGUUGAAUUGCAUGAUCUUACGGAUGAAAAUAGCCAAAAGGAUAGAUCUAAUAGCAGAAAACUCGAUAGAACCAAACACUUGGUACUAUCAAUAGUAUAGGAGCCGGACUCUCUAUAUUUAGGUAGAUCUAACGACAAAAAACUCUAUAGCACAAAAUGAUCGGUACUAUAGAUAGUAUAAUAGCCGGACUAUAUAUAUAGAGAGAGAUAGAGUCCGGCUACUAUAUUAUCGAUAGUACCAAAUGCAUAGUGCUAUCGAAUUUUGUACCGUUAGAUCUACAUCUUUGACCAUUUCUACCCGACUCUAGGAGAUCACUAUCAUUCUAACCGCACAUCCCUUCAUCCAAGAACCGAAAACCUAAUAGCAAGUGAUUGGUACUAUAUAUAUAUAUAUAUAUAGUCCGGCUGCUAUACUAUCAAUAGCACGGAGGCUUCCGUGCUACCAAGUUGUUUUCGAUGAUGCGGCUUCCAAAUCGAUGAUCGGCUCCGUUAGACUUGAUCUACACUAUUGAAAGUAUUUGGAAACUAAAUUUCAGAAUUUUUCGACAUCAUUUGGCUAGUGAUCAAAAGGUCUCAAAAUUAACAAUUUUAAUGGUAGAUGUGAUGCAUUUGUAAAUUUAACGAUGUAAAACAAUCCAAAUCAAAUGAAAUUUUUAUAGAAAAUUCUUUUUACUAUUUAGAGUAAGAUCAGUACCUCUGAUCUUAAAUUCAAGUCUUCUAUCAUCAUUUUUUAUUAGAUUUUUAUUUUCAGCCAUUCAUUUUUAGACUACUCGUUUGAUAGGUAAAUGAUACCGAAAAAUUAUGAAAUUUAGUUUCCAAAUACUUUCAAUAGUGUAGAUCAAGUCUAACGGAGCCGAUCGUCGAUUUGGAAGCGGCAUCAUUGAAAACAACUUGGUAGCAUGAAGGCGUCCGUGCUACCGAUAGUAUAGCAGCCUAGCUCUAUAUAUAUAUAUAUAUAUAUAUAUAUAGAGAGAGAGAGAGAGAGAGAGAGAGAGAGAGAGCUAGGCUCCUAUGCUUUCGAAAGUACAGGAGCCUCCGUACUUGUAAGUUGUUUUCGAUGAUGGGACGUCCGAUUGGGCGAUCGGUUCCGUUAGACAUGAUCUACACUAUUGGAACUAUCUAAAAACCAAAUUUCAUAAUUUUUUGACUUCGUUUGCCUAGUGAACGAGUAGCCUCAAAAUGAACGGCUGAAAAUAAAAAUCUCAUAAAAAAUAAUGAUAAAGGACUCAAAUUUCAAAUCGAAAGUAUUGAUCUUGCUAUUGACGUUAUGUAGAAUUUUCUAUUAAAUUUUCAUAUAAUUUGGAUACUUCUACAUCGUUGAACUUAAAAACGUACCGCAUCGGCCGUUAAAAUAGUCAUUUUUGGGACAUUUUGAUCGCUUAGUAAAUGUGUCAAAAAAUUAUAAAAUUUGGUUCCUAGAUAGUUCCAAUAUGGUAGAUUAUACCUAACGGAGCCGAUCGUUGAAUCGGAUGUCCUAUUAUCGAAAACAACUUACAAGUACGGAGGUUUCGGUACUUUCGAAAGUAUAGUAGACGUCCAUAUAUAUAUAUAUAUACAUAUAUAUAUAUAAUUAAGCUCCUAUGCUUUUAAAAGUACCAAGACAUUGGUGCUUAUAAGUUUUUAGCCUUUAGAUUAAAAAAUAUAUGGUUAGGAUAAUGUGGGCCCCCUAGGGUUGAGUGGGUGGUUGGUUGAAUAGUAUAAUCUAACGGGUGUAAAUGAUCAACAGUGCUGAUCUAACGGUUAAAAACCUACAAGCACAAUGUGAUUGGUGCUUUUACAAGCACCAUAGCCGGACUAUAUAUAUAUAUAUAUNCACGUGCAGAUGGAGGCGCAUGCAGUUGCAUGUGCAGGGGCUACAAUAAAUGCUUGGUUUGCUGCUCCCUCGUAGAUCACGGGAAUCAUCAUCACAUGUGCACAAAAUUUAACAACAAACGCAUUCACCGACGCCAAUGUCCCGAGUCAACCAUCCAAAACUUCUCUCCAUAGAAAAAAUAAAAUAAAAUUAUAAAAUGUUAAAAUUGCGUGAAUUAUUUCUGUUUGCUUUGCCAUUAUCUCAAAUAAGUUUACCUUUUUAGAAUGAGUGUUGAAUUCAGCGAUAAAAGUUUACAAAAAUAUAUUUGCACAGUAAAAUUACUUAUGGGUGCGUUUGGUUCGCACUAUAAAAGAUUACUAGCAAUAAAGAGAUAUCUGCAAAUCUUAUUCAUAUUCAUCCUAUUACUAAGAAUGUGACAUUCCUGUGUUUGGUUCGCACGGUUAUAUUAUUUAGUCAUGUUAUUUAAGUUUACAAAAAAUAUACAAUUAAUUUAUUUAUUUUUUUAAUGAAUUUUAGAUAAUGCCAUCAAAAAUUUCGACAUCUUUUAUAAAAAAGGAGAGAGAGAACAUAGGUUAGAGAGAGAGAGCAUAAUUAAAGAAAUAGGAAGAGAAAUAGAGUCGAGGUUAGAAGGAGCAAGAGAGUUGAGAUUUUGGAAAAAGAGGAGGAGAGAGAGCUUAGUUUAGAGAGAGAAAAAGAGUUAAAGUUUAGAGAGAAAAAAUUAAGUCUAGAAAGAGAUAUGAGGUUAGAGUGUAAACAAAAAUAAUACCAACUAACCGGCGGGUAGGGAGAAAGAAAGAGAUUAGACAUAUUAUGAUUAUCCCAAUUCAUUAAUAUGAGGAUACCCACUAUCUCUCAAGGGAAUGUGAUUAGUACUUUGGGAUGAAUCUCAUUUCCAAGUAAAUCUAAUAUUACAAACUAGAUUACUUAGUGCAUUUAGCCAAACAUCGUCAUAUUUUUUUAUUCCUAUCGAAUUACUAUGAAUCUGAAAAAGAUAGUGCAAACUAAACGCGCCCUAUAAGUAAAACAAUAGGAUUAUAAAAAUUGAAUAAACUUGCUCAACAAACUAUUAUUGAUUUUGAUAGUAUUAGCAACAUAGAAGGUAUCUCUUAUCUAAAUUUUUAUCUACUUUUUGAGUUGAGAAUUAAAUAGAUAUUAAGAUAUGGAACAAUGCAAUAUGCCAAUAAGGGAUGGCACAAUGUGAUAUACCAACAGGGAUGACAAUAGACUUAGGCCGCCCCUCUCCCUGCUGAUAUCCUGCAGACUUUUUACAAAUUCACUAAAUUCAUUUUUUUAUUUAUAAUUUAAUAAAUUUAAUUUAAUUUUAAUUCAAAUUAGAUGAACUUUUAUCCAAUUAUUAAGUUAUUUUUUUCAAUAUCAAAUUAUUAGCUAUGACUCACCAAAUCACUAAACAUAUAUAGCAAUCAAAUAUUAUUUAACUAAUAUAUUAUAUAAAAUAGUAAAUAUAUUUAAAAUAUUUAAUUAAAUUUAAAUAUUAAAAUUAGUUUUCGAUAUUUAUAAAUAAAUUAAUAAUUAUAUAAUAAUAUAGUAUAUUAUUCUGCGAGGAUUGGAAAUUUGGUCAGUCGGGGAGUAUUCCCAUACCGUCCUAUAUAUCCCGUCCCAUCUAGGGAUGCAAACGGAUCCGGUUUGGUGGAGCUCCCGUCCCGAUCCGCCCUGACGGGGCAGUAAAUGGGAGAAAAUAAACAGAUUCGGGGCGGAAAACGGAAUAAAUUUUACGAUCCGAGACGGAUUCGGGGCAGAAAACGGGAGAAAUUUUGAUCCGCCCCGAAUCCGUCCCGUCAUGAUCCGCCCCAAAUCGGCCUCGAAAAUUAUUUAUAUUUUAAAUAAAUAUUUCUAAAAAAUAAUGUAUUUGCAAAAAAGUUUAAAAUACAAAUAAGUUAGUACUCUUAUUUCUAAUGUAUUUAAAACUUUCGAAUUUUGUUUUGAAUUGUCAUUGAUAUUUUUAAUUUUUAUAAUUGAUAUUGUUUAAUUAUAUAUAUAAUAUUAUUAAAAAUUAUUAUUUUAUAUUUUAUAAAAUAUAAUAAUAUUAUAAUUUUAUAAAAAAUAUUAGUUGGCGGGGGCGGAUUCGGGGCGCUGGCGGGUUACAAGGCGCGGCGGAUUACGAGAUGUAUUUUUUAACCCGUCAAGGAUUCGGGGCGGGAGGCGGUGUGGAAUUUUGCUAGUCGGGGCGGGAGACGGGAAUCCCGCCCCCAGAUCUGCCCUGUUUGCAUCCCUAGUCCCGUCCUGGUGAGCGGGAGAAUUUUUUUUUCUAUCUCCAUCUCCGCUGGAACAAAAUCCUUCUCAUCCCUACUCUAUUUCGGGAAGAUCCUGCAAGAACUUAGAUCCGCAUGAAAAUUUGUCAUCCCUAAUACCGACUCAUUGUAGUGAAGUUUUAUAACUUAAUUUGCCAAUUCUCUAAAUUUUUUAAUUUAUUAGAGAUGAUGAUAAAGUGCAAAGUAAUAAUUGACGCAAUUUUCGAUGUUGAGAAAUAAUUUAGCCGUAAAUAAAACCAACUAUUUAUACGAAUUGAGAAAUAAUCGGCUUAUAGCACAAACUCAACGUCACUGAAUAUGUCGAUAGCGGAUGAACUUUUAUCUUGUUGUUAGUUUUGAUUGGCUUGUAAUGCAACUUGCUCACAAAACAGCUUGUAAUGCAACUUGCUCACAAAACAAAAGAAAAAAUAAUCAGGACAAAAUUUAAUUUCUUGAUGUUGUUUAGUACAUUUUUUAUUUUACUAUUUUGUGAUUCAAAAAGCUAUAUUUAAUUAUCGUAUAGACUCAAAACACAUCGCUCACAAACCCUAAGUCACUUGCGGAAUCGAUUUUCCAAAAUCGAUUCUUGAAGACGCCGGGAAUCUCGAAAACACAUCUGGAUGCCCUCAGGACCUAUAGAACAUCCCUAAAUACACCGACUCACACCAAAAGUUACCUGCUAUCCCGAAACACGCCUAUUUUGUUGUCCGGACAAUAAACACAAAUCUCCAAGUCAACUUGGUUGUCGUCGGUUGACCGUUUCGCUCCGGGCUUGCAGAAAUGCCCACUUUGGCACCAGAAUCCUCCGCCGCUCACCUGUCACCUCCAAACAGACGAUGCGACGCCAGCGGCCAAUCACCAAGGCUAGGCGAUGAUUUCCGAAUCGUCCACGUAGCCGGAAACUUAUCGUAGCAUGAAAUGGCAUUCUACCGUUGAUUUUCCUGAAAAACGCACUGAAACCCCUCCGCCACUCAUCCACCACUUUCGGACUUCAAAGGUCGCGGUAGCAAUCAGCCAACAAGGCUUGGCAGGGUCUCCAGGGUAUUCGAAUGGCCAAUGUACAAAAACUGUAACAUAAACCACGUCCAAUCGGCGAAUUUAUGCCAAAUGACAUCGUGGGACCCCGUUUUGUCACUCCCCGGGGCCUAGAUAAUGAAAGCUUUAGCACAACCGUGCCGUUUUACAAAUCAGAGUUGCGAAAUUUUUUUUUUUAAUAGUUUGGCCCACGUGACGCAUAGACCCGCCACAAAUACAAAUUUUUCCUACCCACACAGACAGAGUCUCCUUUGUAUUUGCACGACGUACCCAACAACAACAUCAACAAGAUCACAACAACAAUCUACAUUCACCAAUUCAUAAACAAUAGAUGCGAUACAAUUCUAUACAGUUAGCCAUCCAUAAAAAUGAUGUAUAUAUGCCUCUAAACACUCCUUAGACGCUGGAUGAUGCGAUGCAUAAUACAACAAUCAUCCUAUUUAUAGGUGCUUCCCACUCAGAAGCUUUGUUUAUAAACUCUAUUUGUAUAUCCAUGAAAACCAUUCAAAAAUCUUUUAAAACUGUUUUCCAUACGAAAACUCAAUGUUUGAAAACCGACUAUCUCGAGGGGUAGAAAACCACAAGGCAUAAAUCUUUAAAUCCAAGUGUUGAAGACUAAUAAGACUCCGAUUGCAUGCAUAAUGAAAAGCAUCAACUCAUACAAGUUCACGAUUAUUCGAGUAAUAACAAUAAUCAUCUAACUGAACCAUUUUAUUAUUUAAACUACUAAAUGCGGAAAGAAAAAUAACCAGAGUGACGAUCGCUACUGCAGCCUAGCUAGGACGUCCUCCCAUCGCAUCAAGAACCAAUUCCUCGCCCGUGGCACCUGGAAAAAUGGGGGGUGAGAAACCACAACAAGGUUUCCAAGUGGGUAUGACAGAGCUACGAAAACAAAUCGUAUUUACUGAAAAAUAAAGGAGAUAGAACAACAGAUAGGUAUAUAUCGUAAUACAAAAGCAACUACAGUAGUAAUAGAAACAAGAUAGUAAAUGAGUAAGAACCAAACUACUACUGUAAUAGAAACUCAACUGAACAGAUGCCUCAAGGGUAAAUAAUCCAAAUUAAACCCAAUCUGGUGCCUGUCAUAUUGGUCCGCAGAUCUCAAGCCAUCCCUCCGGACAUUCCAAAAUAAGUCCCACAUAAAGCCUACCUCGUUCGCUGUCCGAAUACAUUAAUUUAAUGCCAUUGGGACAGCCGCACAUAUAGUGUGUCAAAACGGAACGUCGAGAUCUCGGGAAUCACCGGUUUGGCUCCCGGGGUGCCCAUCUCGGCACCAAAAUCACCCGCAGCCCUCACGCUGCGAUCAAAGUUGUCAAACCUCACACUAAAACCAGCCAAUAAGGCUUAAACUCUGCUGCAAAUAGUAGCGACCUGCGUGACAAGAAACCGCGCACAAAAUCGCCCGAUUUCUACCUUUCUGGAUUCCUAAUAAGCCCCGAAGGUUUUCCAAAACACUCCGUGGGUCAAACGAUCACCCUCGCUAUCCCAAAAUACUUAUUUUUGUGUGUUGGGACAGCCGCACGCUGAAUGGUGCCAUUCGGGUGCGAAAACUCCAAAAUCUGCCUACUGGGUUCCCGUAAAUCAAAAAUUAGCUUCGAAACUCACCUAGGGUCCCUCGCUAGUCCGUUCUUCACAUCAGCAAGGUCCCAGCCAGACAACAAGGUUUCUUUACCACUGCAACUAGCAGUUAAACUCACUCCACGAAAAUGGAGCCAAAAGCACAUAAAACACACUUAAAUUACCAUUUUUGUGUGCCGAUCACUAUGAAAUCCCAAUCGAGGGAUUCCUGAACCUCGAACCUCAAGUUCGACCCAUUAGGCAUGAUUCCCAUGCUAUUCAGGACAGCAAUGAUACAAAAAGGUUAUCAUGGCAAUUCAUUGAACACUCGGCGGACGAUAAAUGCAAUAGUAAAAACAGUGAUUAGGGCCAUACCACUGAUUCCGUGACUUCAGAAUCCGAAUAAAGGUAUGGUUCAGGAGCUAUCAACAUGUUGGACACUGUCCAGAGCGCAAAUGACGGUCGAGGAAUGUGUCGGAGCGACGUUAAAUACUGCGAAUUAGGGGCACUGGGAGCGAUGAUGGUGCCACGGUGAAACAAAGCCUCUUCAAUAGGAUCCGAGGUGAGCAUUGCGAUUGACGAGGGCUCGGGGUGUCACGCCCCGUGCCCCGCCUAUUUGGUUGGGUUCGGACACGCUAACAGACCACCGAACGGACAGGGUUUUCCUGUACCGCGGACAGAGUCUCCCCUGUACGUCCAAGGCGUCGCAAUCGAUACAAUUCACGAUGUUCCAACCAGGAACCGAAUUCAACCAAAGAUUGCAUAAGGAAGUAUCAAAAACAUAAAACAACUAAGUUAUUACAACAUUCAUCUUAGGUGUAUUUUACAUCACAAUUUUCUUUUACAUUCAACUUUCAAAAUACAAUCAGUUAACACAAUUAUUACAAGUUUGGUACCCCCUAAGCUAGACCACCUCGGGAUACCGCUAUCUUCAGGUCGAGUUAUGAGGGUCCAAAAGUGAGAUUGGGUUAUGUGUUAGAUGAACAAGUGCAAAAACUUGUACGUUCUGAACGAGAGCACAAUCAGAAUGAGAAUCAAAAGCAGUUUGGGUUUCAAAAGUUUGUAGAGAUGCAGUUGCUUGAGAUGGAGUGGUGGAUGUGGUGACAUUGAGCGGAAGAGACAAGCUCACGGCGGAGCUUACAUGGUGAGCUCAACACAACAGUUGAAAAUUACAAAUCAAAUCGAGGUGGAGUUUGUUUGGAUUUAGUUAAAUUUAUAGUUUAUUUCUAGUUGAAUUAGGAUUAAUAUUUAAAUCUAUUUAAGAUAAAUUAAUUAGAAUUUAAAUAUUAAUAGAAUAGGAUUCAUGAUUAUAUUAGGAUUGGAUACAUUUUGUGGGUAGCACAUUAAGCUUGGAUGGUACGGUCAAGUUGGAGAGGUCUCAUGUGAGUACGGCUUAGGCUGGGUGGUGUCCGUACCAUGGAAAAGCCUAGGCUCGGGUUGCAUGCACCUUGUGCAUGGGUGCAUGUAAGAGAGAAAAGAAAGAAGUCUUCUUGUGGGAUUACAGAAGAUGAAAGAGGGUGAAAGAGAUCCAGAAAGAGUGCUCAGAUUGAAGCUAUUCUAUGUAGAAGAGUAGUCAGGUGUAAUUCUUCUCUUGGUUAAUGAAUCUUAUUUACCUAUAUAUUUUUAUUUGGAUUUUCUCUCUUUUGUAAUUAUAUCAACUUUUACUGAAGAGAUGGGUUUAUGGUAAAAAUCUAAUUUGAUGAUUCUAUUGUGGAAUCUUAACAAUCGGUACCGGAUUUACAGUAAUCGGUAUCAGAGAGAGUUGCAAAUUCUCAAAAUCUGGGGAAUACCAGAUUUUCAACAAUUGGUAUCAGAGUUUAAGGUUAUUUAUUCUCAAGUGAGAUGGACAAAGAUGGCCAUGGAGUUCGAAAUUGAGAAGUUCGAUGAUAAAAACAAUUUCGGCUUGUGGCAGGUUAAAAUAUGAGCGAUCCUCGUACAACAAGAGUUGGACGAGACAUUGAACGAGAAAGAGGCAAAGCUAGCGGAGCUCACAGAUGCGGCAUGGGAGAAGAUGGAGCGAAGCCAUUAAGUAUGCUUUAUCUAUCGUUAGCAGAUGAGGUUCUUUACAAUGUAGCUUGCGAGUUUACACCAACGAAAUUGUGGAAGAAAUUGAAAAAUCCAUACAUGACCAAAUCCGUGACGAAUAGGUUGCACCUGAAGUAGCAACUAUUCACGUUGCGGAUGCACGAAACGACGAGCCUACAUGAGCAUCUAAACGAGUUCAAUAAAGUGGUGGCCUAAUUGACCAUUGUCGGAGUCAAUUUGGAUAAUGAGAAUAAGGCACUGAUUUUAUUAUCUUUGUUAUCGGUGGCAUAUGAGAUUCUGGUGACUACGUUGCUUUAUGGCAAGGAGACUAUAAGCAUAGAGCGGUCACGACGGCACUUUUCUCGAAUGAGAUGCGUAAGAUAACUCAGAAGUCUGGCAUGUAGAGCUGUGAUACAACUCUAAUGGUAAGAGCGAAGAAGGAAGCAAAUCAUUGGCGAUCGGAGAUUGACAGAAAAAGCCGCUAUCCGACGUGGAGUGCUUCUAUUAUCAUAGGAAAAAGCACAUAAAGUGCAACUGUCGAAAACUUUAGAAUAAUCUGAAGGAGUUGAAGCAACAGAAGAAAAAAACUGUCAUGGAUUAGGCCGAGGAGACAUCAGCGACAGUGCAGGUCGCAGAAUUGGAGAUGAUCGAUUCUGAUGUGCUAUAUGUGGUGACUGGUGGUGCGAAAAUUUCGGAUGAUACGUGGGUGUUCGAUUCGGCGUGUUCCUUUCAUGUUUGCCCAGAGAAGGAGUUUUUUGUCACCUAUAAAGCGAUUCGAGGUGGAAAAACUCUUAUGGGGAACGGGAUGACAUGCAAAAAUUUUGGGAGUUGGCACGGUAAAGAUCUGGAUGCACGAUGGGGUCAUGAGAACACUGAAAGGUGUGCUACACAUUUCUGGAUUGAAGCAAAAUUUGAUCUCGCUAAGCGCAUUGGACGAAGCGUUGCAAUUUUUUGACUUCAGGUGGAGCUAUGAGAGUCCAAAAGUGAGAUCGGGUCGUGCACGAGGCGAACAAGUGUGAAAACUUAUACGUUCUGAAUGGGAGCACAAUUAGAACUGAAGCAAGGUCAGUUUGGGUUCUAAAAGUUCAAAGUGGUGCAGCAAAUCAAGGCGGAGCGGUGGAUGCAGUGACAUCAAUCGGAGGAGACAAGUUCAAGAUAGAGCGCAUAGUGAGCUCGACGCAAUAUUUGAAAAUUAAAAAUUAAACCAAUAUGGAGAUUGUUAGAAUUUAGUUAAAUUUGUAGUGAUUUAUAGUUGGAUUAGGAUAAAUAUUUGAAGUCACUAGAGAUAAAUUAUUUUGGAUGUAGAUAUUACAUAGAAUAGAAUUUCUAAUUAUACUAGAAUUUGGGUACGUAUAUCUUGGGUGGAGCUUUAUAAAUACCACCAUGUAUGCAAUUGUUGGUAGAGCUCUCAAGUGAGUAUGGCUUAGGCUUGGUGGUGUUGUGACACCCCAAUAGUCCCACAUCGGAUAGUUAUGGCUAGAUAUGGGAAUAUAUAAGCUUGAUUGAGCUAGACAUAAUAAUUGGGCUUAAGCAUUUUAGGCCGGUGGUUUUGGCCCAACGAGUUAUUAUUGCUAGCAGGUCGGGUCGUUACAUUUGGUAUCAGAGCCAGUUCACCAACCAGAAGUGUGAGAUGAAUCUUGGCUGAGCCAGGGUCGGUGAUUGACAGACUAAGUCAGGGUCGGAAUGACAAAGACUAGCGAGACAAGUCUCACAUCGCCUGAUAAUCUUGGGUUCUGUGCGUGUUUUGGGCUGACGAGGAUGUCAGGGCCUAAACGAAGGGUGUCUGUGACACUCGAUCGAAUAGUCCCACAUCGGAUAGUUAUGGCUAGAUGUGGGAAUAUAUAACCUAGAUUGGGCUAGACAUAAUAACUGGGUUUAAACAUUUUGGCCGGUGGUUUUGGCCCAACGAGUUAUUAUUGCUAGCGGAUAGGGUCGUUACAGGUGUUCAUACCGUGGAGAAUGAAAAAUUCUAGAAUGCACCGAGUAUAUUGGUGACGUGGCGUCCCCAACCAAUCAAAUGAAUCUUUUUGGAUUAAUCCAUCAUAUCAUCAUUAUAAAAAAAAAAAUUUAUUAUACUUUUCUUUUAAAAGGAGAGAUAUGAUUGGCUUGUUAUUGCUGAUAUGGUGCAAGUGUGACAUAGUAGACUUUCUCGUGGAGAACUUAGGCUAGUUGCAUGCACCUUGUGCAAGGGUGCAUGUAAGAGAGAAAAGGAGGUCUUUUAGGCUCGGAUUGAAGCUACUUUGUUGUAGAAGAGAAGUUAAGUAUAAUCUUCUCUUAAUUAGUGAAUCUUAUUUCAACUAUAUAUUUUUCUGUUUGGAUUUUUUUUUUUUUUUUGUUAUUGUAUCAGCUCUUUGCUGAGGAGGCGGGUUUAUGGCAAAAAUUCGAUAUGAUACUUCCGUUACGGAAACAGCAGUCGGUAUCAGAGCGGCUUACGAAGUCUCAAAAUUUUGUAUCAGGACCCAACAGAUAAAUCUAUCCCAUUUUAAUUCGCGUUCAGACAAAAUUUGACAUGCCUACAUAGAAUUAAGGGACAAAAAAAAAAAAAGAAAAAAAAAAAAACNGGCCUAAAUUUGGAUUUAGUCGGCAUAAUAUUUCAACAUUAACCUAAAUUUCCCUUUUGGAUGGAUUAGGGGCCCGGGGUUAGUGACAUUAUGAUCGAUAAGACCUUUUCCCAUCAUCAUGAAAAAGAAAAACUAAUCACUCAUCAAUAUAGAUAGAGUUCUCAGGAUAAUGGAUUUGGUGGGUGAUGGAACCCCAGAAAAGCAGAUGGGUCGCCCAUCUCUAGAUCUAUUUGAUUAUAUAACCGAAACAAAGACUACAGUGUACUCUCACUCUUUGUUUCUUGGUCUUAGAAGAUAUACUUCACAUGAUAGCUACCUUUCACCAAAGCCUCCUUUGGACUUCUUUCUGUUUUUUUUUUUUUUUUUUUUUUCUUUUAAUAAUUGAUAAUUAAGGUCGGGUUAGGGAUGUCAACAGGUUGGAUUUGAGUUGGGUUUUCAAACACUCAAAUCCAAACCUGAAAACCAAAUUAAAACCCGAACCCCGACCCGAAUCCGGCGGAUUUUAAACAUCCGUACCCAUAUCCGAACCCGACUAAAAACCCGAAACCCAAACCCCGAAAACCCGAACCCGAAAUAAUGAUUUCCCUUUAUCAUAUUUAAAAUCAAAAUUUUCAAAAUAAAAUUUUCAAAACACAAUCAAAUAAAAUAUUAAAAUAUUCAUGCCAUACAAUAUCAAUAUCUGGAUAAAGAAGGCAUAAAUUCAAAUAGUUAAAGGCAGCGAUACAUUUUUUAAAUAUCUAAUACAAUUUUUAAAUAUCAAAAUGUUAUAUAAUUUAUUCACGUUCGGGUUCGGGUCGGGUGAAUGCAAAAUUCAUACCCGUAUUCAUAUCCGUCGGAUUUUAAUUUCUAUACCAUAACCGAAUCCGUAUCUGUUUAACUCGGAUAAACCUGCCCUAUUCGGGUUUGGGUUCGGAUAAUAUAUAUUUUGAGUAUUCAUACCCAUUGACAUCCCUAGUCUAGGUGUCAUUUACAUCCUAAUAACCCAACAAUCUAAUAAUCUGAUCUGAAUCCAACCGGCCGAUUUGUCAGGUUCGGAAUAUGAAUCCAUGGUUUUUUAUUAGAUAGAAAACGAAUGCAAGUCCAUUGUUAUGAUUGAGUUUCAUCCGAAUAUGAGUAAUAGUGGGUUAUCGCAUAAAUCAAUUUUCGGUAGGACCUAUUUCUUAAUUACUCAUUUCAAUUUAUAGAUAGUGAUCCGAAGAUAAUGAAUGCGAUAGAAAUUAUUGAUAUAUAAAUAACAAUUAAUUUAAACAUAUGUUUUGCAUUCUAAUAAAUAUCAUUGUAGUUUACUCCUAUGUAUUUCUACCAAAUACGGAAUAUCAAUUACCUUUUAAAUGUGGGAAACAAUAAUGCGUUGCGAAACUAACAAUAAUUAAUUUGUCUUUCGGUACAUAUUUAUUAUUUUCUUAUAAUUUAUAAUAGGGGCAAUUACUUAUAUACCUCUGAAAAAUUUUCAACUUUUUGAUUUAUCCGUUUUAGAAGGCUAAUAUUAAAAAUACUUUUUUUACGUUCUAAGUUAUUUCAAAUAUACGCAAUAGCCGUUAUUUUUAUAAAAUUACUAUUUUUUUCUUUCAAAUGUAUAUUCUUUUACCAUCACCAACUUUUCUUAUUUGUCCUUAACUUAAGGGCAAAAAAAGUAUUUUAAUUUUUGGUCAUUUCAAAUAUACCCUUCUCCUAUCACCAACUUUUCUUAUUUGUCUUUAAAUUAAGAGCAAAAUAAGUAUUUUGAUUUUUUUUUUUUAACUCUGGUAGAUAUUUUAAUUCACGUUUAAUGCAAAAUAGCUUAACGGUAGUAACUGCGAGGGUAUUUUUGAAUAAUGGAGGAACAUAUGAGGAGUACAUUAGAAAAAAAAAAAUAGUGGUAAAUUAGAUAUUUUCAAAAUUUUGAAGGGUAUAUAGGCAAUUAUCCUUCAUAAUAUGUAUUAGUUAAUUAUGUUUCUAUCCCAUCCUUAAUCUAGUUUUUUCAAAGUUGACAAAUAACUAUGUCUUAAGCUUCGUUUAAGCUUCGUUUGUGAUUGCGGGGAGAUUGCGUUACGUGCGGUGAGAAAUUACGUUGGAAAAAUAUCUUGUUUGUUUCCGUACGUAAUAUUGUGUUCUGCAUAUCGCGAUAAGUCGGUUACAAUAUAUUUUCUGCAAUCUCACCGGAGAACGCAGAAGCAUAUCCCUAUAUGCUUUUUCCUCAACUCCAUUUUAUCUAAUAGCGUUAGAUAGACCUCAAUACCAAAGCCUUAGUUAUAUCAUGUUUCGCACCCUGUGCGAAUAGCGUAGUAGGGUAAUAAAUAGUCUAGAGUUUUUGUUAGUGUAAACUAAAACGAGCUUUCUCAAACAUAAGCUCCACUGUAGCAAGAAAAUACAGAGAUCAUGAUUUAACUAUUAUAUAUAUAGAUUUGGGCUAGAUUACUAUUAAUAGUAUUUGCCCUUUUUGGUAUCAAAUUUUUAGCCUUUGAAUCACUUUUUUUAAUCAUUUUUAAUGAUUGGAUUAAAUAUUAUAAUCCAGUAUGUACCACUCAAUCCUAGGGGGACCACUCAACUCUAAAGGACAGAUAUCAUCCUAACCUUACAAUUUCUCGUCCAAGGGUUAAAAACUUGCCAGCGAAAUGUGCCAAAUAUUAUCAAUAGUAUUUCAACCCAAUUCUCUAUUUUCAGUCUUUCAUUGUUAGACUAUUCGUUUGAUAGCUAAAUGAUGUCGAAAAAUUAAGAAAUUUAGUUUCCAAAUAUUUUAAAUAGUGUAGAUCAAAUCUAACGGAGCCGAUCGUCGAUUUAGAAGUUGCACCAUUAAAAAUAACUUAGUAGCAUGAAGGCCUCCAUGCUACCGAUAGUAUACCAGCCUCUCUCUCUCUCUCUCUCUCUCUCUCUCUCUAUAUAUAGCUAGGCUGGUAUACUAUCGAUAGUGCGGAGGCUUCCAUGCUACCAAGUUGUUUUCAAUGUUGCGCCUUCCAAGAGAGAGAGAGAGAGAGAGAGAGAGAGAGAGAGUUAGGCUGGUAUAUUAUUGUUAGCAAAAGAUCUUUUUUGCUAUCAAGUUUUUAGCAUUUGGAUCAAUUGCUGUCAUCAUUUCUAACCAUUGGAUUACAUAUUAUAACCCAGUGGGAACCACUCAACCCUAAGGGGACCACUCAACCCUAAGCGACUAAUAUCGUCCUAACCUUACAAUUUCUUAUCUAAGGGUUAAAAACUAAAUAGCAAAAGGACAUUUUGCUAUCAAUAUUAUUCCAGCCUAGCAAUAGUAUAUAUAUAUGGGCGCAUAUGAAUUGAUUCGAAUCAAUAUGGAAUUAUUACCCCACGCUCACUCUAUAUUUUCUCCCUGGUUGGUGAUAAUAGGAACAAUGCAAAUAAUCUAUGUAGCUUCAACUUCUCUUGGUCAACGUAAUUUAAAAAAGAGAAUAGCCUAUUCCUCUGUAUCUCACAUGGGUUUCACAAUUAUAGGAAUUGGUUCUAUGACUGACAGGGGACUCAAUGGAGCUAUUUUACAAAUGCUCUCUCAUGGAUUUAUUGGUGCUGCACUUUUUUUCUUGGCGGGAACGAGUUGUGAUAGAACACGUCUUGUUUAUCUCGAAGAAAUGGGAGGGAUAUCUAUCCCAAUGCCAAAAAUAUUUACCAUAUAUAUAUAUAUAUAGAGAGAGAGAGAGAAAUAGGUUGGAAUACUAUUAAUAGCACCAAACUAUUAUUGCUAUUGGUUUUUUAGCCUUUGGAUUGAGAAAUGUGUGGUUAGGAUGAUAUGGGCCCUCUAAGAUUGAGUGAGUGAUUGGUUGAAUAGUAUAAUAUAACGAGUAAAAAUAAUCAAAAUGUUAAAUCUAACAGUGGAAAACCUGAUAGCACCAAAUCUUUGAUGCUAUCGAUAGUAUCUCACCCGGACUAUAUAUAUAUAUAUAUAUAUAUAUAUAUAUAUAUAUAUAUAUNNNNNNNNNNGGAGAGGGUCAAGAAGCGCUCGUCGUGGGCGCCAUCGCGGAGUCCUCCUCCGAUAACGCCGUGGUGGAUACGUCUCCGGAGGCCACCCUCGCCAGAAGGGGUACUACCAACUCCCCCGUCUCGCCCUGGCUGACUACCUCGCGGAGUUGUUCAAAUCCUCCACUCCAGGAGCCUAGAAGUUGCCGCUCUUCCAGCUGGUGACCUAGCACCUCUUUAUCAACUACGUAUAUCUCUUUGAGAAGGCAAUGUGGAAGUAUCUCCUCUCUCUAGCUCAAAUCGAGCGGUGUGUGUGGACCUGCCGCUCCGGAUGGCGACCACCAACCUAGAGGUCCUCUUGGGGUCGUAGCUGAACCGCCGCUAAAGUACCUUCUUCAAGUUCCUCGAAGACAACCGUGUGAUGAAGGGCUGAUCACAGUUUGCCUUCUACCUUGUCCUGAACGCGUUGAACGCGGUUCCACUAGCCUGACACCGGCUCAUGCUCGCCCUCAAAAGAGCCGAAGAAGUGACGCACGGAAAGCAGCACGCCCUGCUGCUCCUGUUCCGGGCGUAGAAACUCCCUCCCAACGCUGGCAGCUAGAAGGCCAAACACGUUAGGAGAUUGGAGGUUUGGAUGGCCCUCCAUCACCUAGCGCGCGAGUAUCACCUCUCGCCGUUAAUGACUGAAUACGUUUAGUACGAUUCAUCUCUGUAGUACCAACUCGUCAUAAGUAGAAAUGAAUGGGCAACAUAAAUAGCGAAAACGAAUACGAAUAUGUGACUAGGGAAAAACAUCGAAAACCCGUAUCACCGCGUGAAGUGACUACAGUCAUUAACGGGUGACCUUUGAUAAUAAAUUAUCAAGAGUGCGGGGACAAAGAUACAAAGGAAAAGUCUCGGAAGCCAUGGCCGCCUCCGUGCCCUAACGCCGUUCCCACAGCGCAUCGAUCGAGUCUCUCUCAGGCAAAACGAUAUCCACCAAUGAGGAAGGAAUAACACAAACUCUCUCCCUCUCUAAAACGUGGUACAUAUCUCUCUGGUGGAACAUAAGUCUAAUCAUGAACAAUACCCUGAGGCAAACAUAAUAGAACACAAAAUGAAUCACCUAAUAGUCAAAAUACUAGAAAAGGAACAAUAUCGUGAAGCAUUAUGAAACGAGACUAUGAGGAUCUACGAAAGAGAAUAACGAAAUAAAUGGCGAAAUAAAAUCUGCGGAACAUACAAAGUCUGCAUGCCGUCCAGACCCGUGCGCGGCCCGUCCGAAGGCGGCCCAGGGCCCCGGACUGUUGGUUCGUGAACCACGAUAAUUCAAAAGACAGUAAUCUAAUUGGGAAAACUGGUAAAAGUGGGCAAUCUAGUAUAAUAAGUUGAUUAGUGGGUGAGUUGGGAUUCCUUGGUAAUAGUAGGAUUGGCAUGUAGCGAAGUAGGUUCCCGGUUUUUAUAAGGAUGGCGCUCUCGGCGCGACGUCCACGAUUGGUGCUGGCGGUGUAGGGACCUGAGUCUUCCGAGCCUCCGCCUGCUGCAGUAGGAGAUCCUCCAGAUGCUUCAUCCACGCCUCCUGUCGGCGCGCCGCCUCAGUCUGCUGUGCCACCAUAUCAGUGAGGGCCGCAAGCUGGCCCCUCAACUCUCGGACCCCGCUGGAUCCGGAGGUAGCAGAGGUCUCGACCUCCUCCAGAUUUGCCGCGUUAUCCGCUCCGGUAGAUUGGGAGCGUGUAAUCGGCAUCACACUACAAUAUCAUAAAAGCGUAAGUUAGCAAACUCACGUCAUCAUAUCCCCACUCAAGAAGGUAAUACCCGAAAUUAUGCGAACGUAAUGAACUGUGCUUCACUACUAACUCCCGAUGUUACGUUGUCGGCCGCCAACGUAACCCUCCGCGAAGUUAGAAGCUAUACACUUCAAUUUAACUCCACUUUCUAGUGUUAUCCAAGAUACCCAAUCAAGAUACUUUCGCUUACAAGUCGAAUAGACCUCGUCUCUCACGAGCCUAUUUCCUAUAGUCCAACCGGCCUAAGGUUUGCUAGGUCCACUAAGACUCAACCCUAGACUCUGAUACCAAACUAAUCUGUCACAUCCCGGGACCCGGCGGAAGCACGCCCGGCGCGUGCCCAGACCCGCCGUACGUCUGAAACAUACAAGGCGUCUAAAAUAAAGCGGUAAAUAAAGCAAUAAGAGAAAGCAUCUAGGAGUAUCAGAGCAAAGUACUACAAAGUGCUACAACAAGGAGAAGACCAUAAAACUGAUAAUCCACUAAGUAAAACACAAGAUAAUACAAACGGAGUCCCAUAACAAGUACUAAUCUGAAUACAAGGUGGUCUCUCUAUACAUGGUGCAAAAUCUCUCCCUCUCUCAAACACAACAAGGAAGGAGUAACCACCUAUAGCAAAACGGACUCUCUCUGAGCUAACUACGCGACACCCUUGCCGCAAUCCCGUGCCUCCGCCGGUGCCGAAGGCUCUGAAAAGGAAAAAUAGAAACAGGGGCGUGAGAACUAUUAAAUAAUAGUUUCCAGUGGGCAAUUACUAACUUCAGUGAAGUGCGCCACUAGGUCCAAAAGCUACAAAAAGGGGUCAGUGUAUAAGCAUAAGCAAAAGCGAUAAAUACAACGGGUAAGUAAAGAUGAAUACUGCUCAACCAUGAUGUCUCUACUUAGCAUGAUUUGCAUAAGUAAUAAAGCAACUACCACAGGUAUGUACAUGAGAGUAACCAAUAUGUAAAUGCAUGAGUAUGCAACUACCCCAAUAUUCACAAUGUGAAUAGCAAUAAUGUCAUUGUUCACUAUUCUAGUCAAUGUCCACUUGUCACUUUAACGAUCUCCAAAUCGACGAUCGGCACCGUUGAACAUGAUCUAUACCAUUUGAAGUAUUUAAAAACUAAAUUUUAAAUCUUUUUGGCAUCAUUAACCUAAUGAUGAAAGGGUUUUAAAAUUUAUAAUUUUAAUGAUCAAUAUAAGGCGUUUUCUCGUUUAACAGUGUAAAGAUAUCCAAAUCAAUUGAAUUUUGGGUAGAAAAUUUUUUAAACUAUUUAGAAAAAAAUCUAUACUCUCGAUCUUGAUUACAAGAUUCCUAUCAUCACUUUUUAAACGAUAUUCAUUUUCAGCCGUUCAUUUUGUGUCCACUUGAUGGACAAAAGAAUAACAUCGAAAAAGUAUGAAAUUUGAUUUCUAAAUGCUUCCAGUGGUAUAGAUCAUGUUCAAUAGUGCCGAUCGUUGAUUUGGAGGCUCCAUAAUAAAAAACAAAUGGCCGGCAACGGAGUCCGUUUACUACCGAUAACAUUCUAGCUCAACUCUCUCUCUCUCUCCUCUCUCUCUCACUCUCUAUAAAUAUAAUCAGCUAUACUAUUUCAACCAACACGGUUCAAAUUAAAAU
rnacentral:lncRNA from 1 species